GAUGAACGCUGGCGGCGUGCUUAACACAUGCAAGUCGAACGGGAAACCUUUUAUUGAAGCUUCGGCAGAUUUGGCUGGUUUGUAGUGGCGGCGGGGGGAGUAACGCGUGGGUAACCUGCCUAAUACAGGGGGAUAAGAGUCAGAAAUGGCUGCUAAUACCGCGUAAGCGCACAGAGCUGCAUGGCUCAGCGUGAAAGACUGCGUUGGUAUAAGAUGGACUCGCGUUGGAUUGGCUGGUUGGUGGGGUCUCGGCCCACCAAGGCGACGAUCCAUAGCCGGCCUGAGAGGGUGAACGGCCACAUUGGGACUGAGACACGGCCCAGACUCCUACGGGAGGCAGCAGUGGGGAAUAUUGCACAAUGGGGGAAACCCUGAUGCAGCGACGCCGCGUGAAGGAAGAAGUAUCUCGGUAUGUAAACUUCUAUCAGCAGGGAAGAUAAUGACGGUACCUGACUAAGAAGCCCCGGCUAACUACGUG
rnacentral:rRNA from 1 species